rnacentral:tRNA from 1 species
ACCUGGUUAGCUCAGUGGUUGAGCUUCUGCCUUUGGUUCAGGUCAUGAUCCCAGGGUCCUGGGAUCGAGUCCCACAUCGGGCU